CGGUAAUACGUAGGGCGCGAGCGUUAUCCGGAAUUAUUGGGCGUAAAGAGCUCGUAGGCGGUUUGUCGCGUCUCCCGUGAAAGUUCGGGGCUUAUCCCCGGAUCUGCGGUGGGUACGGGCAGAAUAGAGUGCAGUAGGGGAGGCCGGAAUUCCUGGUGUAGCGGGGAAAUACGCAGAUAUCAGGAGGAACACCGAUGGCGAAGGCAGGUCUCUGGGCUGUUACUGACGCUGAGGAGCGAAAGCAUGGGGAGCGAACAGGAUUAGAUACCCUGGUAGUCCAUGCCGUAUACGUUGGGCAUUAGGUGUGGGGGACAUUCCACGUUUCCACGCCGCAGCUAACGC
rnacentral:rRNA from 1 species